UACGUGGGGGGCAAGCGUUGUUCGGAUUUACUGGGCGUAAAGGGCGCGUAGGCGGCCAGUGCAAGUCAGUUGUGAAAUCUCCGAGCUUAACUCGGAAAGGUCAACUGAUACUGCUCGGCUAGAGUGCGGAAGGGGCAACUGGAAUUCUUGGUGUAGCGGUGAAAUGCGUAGAUAUCAAGAGGAACACCUGCGGCGAAGGCGGGUUGCUGGGCCGACACUGACGCUGAUGCGCGAAAGCUAGGGGAGCGAACGGG
rnacentral:rRNA from 1 species